rnacentral:lncRNA from 1 species
AGAAAACUCCCUCAGCUCUCUCAAAUUUCAGCCAGGCACUCGACAGCACAUGUAAAACGCACGUACACACCUCCACGUUCUAUUUCACGCAAUUCGGUACAUAAAAUAUAGAGACUUUUGCGAAAAUUCCGCUUCGCCAAUUUCGGCGUCUUCUCGAUAAUCACACGAUAUCAAGAGAUCUAUCCGUCAAAUUUGCAAACGGACUGCGCCAGCGCUUCCGACACAGCUGAAACAUUAAAACCACAAAUUUUUUUUGUUUGAAAUGGUCGCAGAUUUGCGACAAAAUCCAUUCUCUCUCCAAUUCACAUAAAUCACCCAGCGAUAGCAAAUGGGCUCCGUUGCCACCCAUUUGUUUUCAAUGAUGGAAUCUCCAAAUCAACGAUCGGUACCGUUGAACAUGAUCUAUACCACUUGAAGUGUUUAGAAAUUAAUUUUCAUACAUUUUCAAUAUUGUUCUCUUAUCCAUCGAGUGGACAUAAAAAUGAACGGAUGAAAAUAAAUAUUCUUUAAAAAAUGAUGAUAGGAGUCUUGUAAUUAAGAUCAAGAGUAUAGAUCUUGUUUUAAAUAGUUUAAAAAAUUUUCUAAUAAAAAAUCAAUUGAUUUGGAUAUCUUUAUGCCGUUAAACGAGAAAACGCCUCAUAUCGACCAUUAAAAUUACAAAUUUUGAAACCCUUUGAUUAUUAGGCAAAUAAUAAUGUCGAAACGAUUUGAAAUUUGAUUUCUAAACACUUCAAGUGGUAUAGAUCAUGUUUAACGGUGUCGAUCGUCGAUUCGGAGGCUCCAUCAUCGAAAACAAAUGGGUGGCAACGGAGCCCAUUUGCUAUUGAUAUAAUAUUCUAGCUCAACUCUCUCUAUAUAUGUGUGUGCGUGUGUGUGUGUGUGUGUGUAAUUCAAAUUUAAAUAAAAAUUUUACUUCAAAUUUGAAUUUACCCUGAUUUAAAAAUCUCGGAUAUUACAAAAAUUAGCAAUCAAAUUAUCGUUUAUAAUUUCCGGUUAAACUAUGUACAUCUUGCUCAUUAAUUGAUUCUUGUUGCAGUCACUAUUUC